GCCGGUCACAGGAGAAAUCUGCGCAGAAGGCGUAUUUUUUCGUCAGGCGCAGAAGAGAGAAUCACGUGAUGCCCUCGCCCGUUGCGCCGUUGCAGCGGUUAAUUUCAAACUGUUCGAGACGCCGCUGGAGGAUGGAGCUGAGGAACAUGUCGGCGUCUCGAUAGGAGUGCGGUAAUUUCCAGCGCGAACAGCUCAAGCACAGGUUGAGUGAGUAUCCCUCGUAGGUAACGGAUGCACCACAUGCGGCCACAGUCUAUACAGGUAAACGGGCGUGGUGUCUUUGUUUAUUAGCGUUCGUUUGAGACUCUAUUGUUCUUCCAGUCGAUUCAGCCCACCGAGUUCAUGAAAAUGAAAACGAUCCUGGCUAUGCUUGUAGGUACAUUAGCGUGGUGUUCUACUUUUAGUUUGUGGUCAAUUCACUGUAGUUUUCAUCUUACAUAUUCUUUUAGGACUCGGAAAGUGUCGCUUUGAACAAGCUUGGAAUCAUUUACCGUCUAAUGCGCUACAGUGUUCUUUGUCGGCGGAACAUCUACUUGGCCGGUGAGUUCCAGCGAUUGGAAAACACGAAGGAACAAUGAAAUCGGUAGCCGUUCAUAAGGCAACAAGAGACCAGAGGCUAUAGUUGCGUCGCUAGCAGGCAGGACCCGAGCUAAUUAUACUGAUGCAACAUCCAAGUGCCUACGUGUACAGAUAAGCAGAGGUCCCAGCACAACCACAAGCCAAUAGUGCAGAAGAUAAACACGAGGGCUAUAGCAAAUUCAAGUCAACGCUUAUGUCAUAUGUGCUUUGGGUAAUAAAGUGAUUCUAUUCCCCA